rnacentral:tRNA from 1 species
CCGAGUGGUUAAGGCGCCAGAUUUGAAAUCUGUUACGAGUAUUCGUGCGUAGGUUCAAAUCCUGCUGCUGACG